rnacentral:rRNA from 1 species
CAAUAGCGUAUAUUAAAGUUGUUGCAGUUAAAAAGCUCGUAGUUGAAUUUUUGCUUGCCGCCGAUGUCGGAACUUCCGUACGUUCGGCGGCGUGCAUCCUUGGGUGGAACCUGUGUGGCAUUAGGUUGUCGUGCAGGGGAUACUCAUCGUUUACUGUGAAAAAAUUAGAGUGUUCAAAGCAGGCUUACGCCGUUGAAUAUAUUAGCAUGGAAUAAUAAGAUAGGACCUUGGUACUAUUUUGUUGGUUUGCGCACCGAGGUAAUGAUUAACAGGGACAGUUGGGGGUAUUCGUAUUCCAUUGUCAGAGGUGAAAUUCUUGGAUUUCUGGAAGACGAACUACUGCGAAAGCAUUUACCAAGGAUGUUUUCAUUAA